GGGUGCUUAGCUCAGCGGUAGAGCACUUCCUUCACACGGAAGGGGCCACAGGUUCGAUCCCUGUAGCACCCACCA
rnacentral:tRNA from 2 species